GAGGAAUAUUGCGCAAUGGACGAAAGUCUGACGCAGCAACGCCGCGUGAGUGAUGAAGGCCCUCGGGUCGUAAAGCUCUGUCGUGUGGGAAGAGGCUGUACGAGUAACGAUCGUAUGGUGACGGUACCACAGAAGGAAGCACCGGCUAACUCCGUGCCAGCAGCCGCGGUAAUACGGAGGGUGCAAGCGUUGUCCGGAAUUAUUGGGCGUAAAGCGCGUGUAGGUGGCCUGUUAUGUCGGAUGUGAAAUCCUGCGGCUUAACCGCAGAACUGCGUUCGAAACUGGCAGGCUUGAGUGCGAGAGGGGGAGGUGGAAUUCCCGGUGUAGAGGUGAAAUUCGUAGAUAUCGGGAAGAAUACCGGUGGCGAAGGCGACCUCCUGGCUCGUAACUGACACUCAGACGCGAAAGCGUGGGGAGCAAAC
rnacentral:rRNA from 1 species